rnacentral:rRNA from 1 species
GCUGCAUGGCUGUCGUCAGCUCGUGUCGUGAGAUGUCCGGUUAAGUCCGGCAACGAGCGCAACCCUUGCCGUAUGUUAUAUGUGUCAUACGGGACUGCCGAUAUAAAGUCGGAGGAAGAUGAGGAUGACGUCAAGUCAGCAUGGCCUUUAUAUCUGGGGCGACACACACGCUACAAUGGCCGGUACAAUGGGUUGCAAAGCCGCGAGGUAGAGCCAAUCCCGAAAGCCGGUCUAAGUUCAGAUUGUAGGCUGCAACUCGCCUACAUGAAGCCGGAGUUGCUAGUAACCGCGCGUCAGCAUUAGUGCGGUGAAUACGUUCCCGGGAUU